rnacentral:tRNA from 10 species
GCGGACGUGGCGGAAUUUGGUAUACGCGUACGCUUGAGGUGCGUAUCCCGCAAGGGUUGGAGGUUCGAGUCCUCUCGUCCGCACCC